ensembl:lncRNA
UGGAAGUCAUCUCCGUCUGCGCAGGAAUGACGCAGAACACACUUCUGGAGAAUGCGUCAAUGUCAUUUCGAUAUGAAAAAAAAAUGCAUCGAAUAGAGCCCCUGAAUACCCAAGCGAAAAGUAGGCUGCCGGACUAUCUAAACAACACAGUCACAGGAGCGGUUUUCUCAACAGCUCAGAUUCAGUAUCCAUUGCUCUACCUGGCCCUCGCUUCCUCCACUGCAGCUAACCUGGAACCAUCAUCAACCUGGAUAUGAAUUGAUCAUUAAUAAAAGGACUGGUGUAUCAAGGACCUACUCAUGCCUCUCUCCAGUCUUGUCUCCUCAUUAUGUUCCUGGCAGAUUCGCUGGUCCAGGUGACGAGUGUGUGCCUGUUGAACCAAUCACUAUCCACACCGG